AGAGUUUGAUCAUGGCUCAGGAUGAACGCUAGCGGCAGGCCUAAUACAUGCAAGUCGAGGGGUAUGGGAGAGCUUGCUUUCCCUGAGACCGGCGCACGGGUGCGUAACGCGUAUGCAACCUACCCUUUUCUGGGGGAUAGCCCGAAGAAAUUCGGAUUAAUACCGCAUAAGACCACGCUAUGGCAUCAUAGAGGGGUCAAACAUUUAUGGGAGAAGGAUGGGCAUGCGUGCCAUUAGCUAGUUGGCGGGGUAACGGCCCACCAAGGCGACGAUGGCUAGGGGAUCUGAGAGGAUGGCCCCCCACACCGGUACUGAGACACGGACCAGACUCCUACGGGAGGCAGCAGUAAGGAAUAUUGGUCAAUGGAGGCAACUCUGAACCAGCCAUGCCGCGUGCAGGAAGACGGCCCUCUGGGUUGUAAACUGCUUUUAUUCGGGAAUAAACCUUUGCUCGUGAGCGAAGCUGAAUGUACCGAAGGAAUAAGGAUCGGCUAACUCCGUGCCAGCCGCCGCGGUAA
rnacentral:rRNA from 1 species